UCUCCUCCAACGUUAAAAGCCCAUUUUUGCCUUCUCGCUUCUUCCUCUUUUCAAAUUAUAAACCCUAAAUCCCCAAAUUUCUGCCAUUGAUGCCAUUUUCAAUCUCGCUUCUUUCUCUUUUCUUUUCUUUUUCUGUCUCUCUCCUCCAACCCUCUUCUCCAUCCAUCUUUUCUAAUAAUUUUGACGCCAUGUCCCAAAAUUCAAUGAAUAUCGAGGAAGUCAAUAUAUGUAAUUGCGGUUAUUAUUGUCGUCUCAAAACUUCAAGGACUCCAUUGAAUCCAGGUCGUAGAUUUUUUGGAUGCAAAGCUUCAAAGACAAGUGGUGGAUGAGGCUAUUUUAGAUGGAUUGAUCCAUCGCCUGAAAGUGCUGAAGUGUCGUGCUCAAUGAAUAAAUUCAAAGAUGGUAAAAAUUCGAUUGAUCGAUCUAAGGAAAAAUUGAAAGAGCUUCAAGAAGGAAGGAAUUCUUUGAAAUUGAAUGAUCAUGAAGAGACGAUGAUGGUAGUUAAUCAGAAACUCAAGGAAGUUAAACUACAAAGAAAUCGGGCAAAUGCUAAAUUUAACAGACUUGUGCUUGUUCUUCUUUGUCUACUAACUAUAAAAUGGUUCUUUAAUAUAGUGUAGUUUUAUAGUAGUUUAAAGUGUAGUACUUAAUUGUUAAGUUUUAUCGUAGUAGGCCAGUGUAGAAAUAUGUUGAAUUAGCUAGUUAUGUUUUGUAUCAAAUUGAAAGCUUGAGUGUGAAUUAGCUUUGUUUUAUAUCAAAUUAAAAGCUUGAAUGUGAA